CUCGGCUGUGCCUUUGUUUGGUUUAAAUGCUCUAAGAGGGGCAAAGCUGUGGUUAAAGAACCAACUGGAAGGAAAAGGGGAGAUGGAAACGUUUACCAGACGCACCCAAGUGAACACAAAUGCCUUUCUUUGGUGAUGUCCACUGCCCCAGCCGCAGCCACGCAGCACAGCUGUUUGUUUCCCGGCUGCCCUCACCACAUCAACGUGCGAGCAUCCCAGCUUCCCCUUUCUGAAUAAAAGCACACCUCUUCUCUUCAUGGUGGUGUGAAAAAAGCAGCAGAAAGCCAAAGCAGGAGCUGGCAGAAUGUGUGGAGAACCCCAGCCUCUCUGUAACGCUGCUCCCAUCACCCGCCUCAUGGCUUUCCAACAUCUGGGACCAGAGGAAUGGCUUCAAGCGAAGCAUGAGCAAGAGGAGCCCUGAAAUCAACUGCUCGCACCCACACGCCCGUGACCUUGUGGUUUUACUACAGCUUUCAUUUCCAGACGCCGGUUCUCCCCACCGCUUGCUGCAUUUCUACAACAUCUUGGCAGUUUGCUUUCGCCCUGGAGACAGAGCCGAGCGCGAGGUUGCUUAGCAUGGCUCGGUGGGGAGGGAAGCAACAAGGCUGCGAUUAAAGAAUUAAACUAGAGAUGACGGAAGAGCCCCAGCCAUGCUUCCACCUAGACAAAGCCUACGUGCUGCUUCGUACCAGCCCUUCAGAACGCAUGCCGCUCGAGAGGAAAAUGGGAAUUUCGGCGUGGCCGCAGGUGUCUCUAUCGCUCACCUCGGGAAGCGUUUAGAGGCAGAACAGCCCGGGGCUGGAGGAAAGCAGCCCGGCUCGGGGGAGCCCGCAGCGCUGCUGGGCGGAGGCGCGGCUCCCCCCGCGGCAGAUGCCCGAAGCCCCCCGGGGGGGGCGGCUCGCCGCAUUCCCGAGUAGGGGGAGGCGCCCCCAACGUCGCCAACGGCCCCAUCUCCUCGCCUCAAGGUACUCGGCCGGCUCGCAAAAAGCAUCCCUGGGGCAGGGGGCGGCAUCCCCCCUCUCCGCUUCCCCGGCGGCUCCCCGCCCGGCCAAAAGCCGCCUCCUAGCCUGAGUCACUGUAAAAUGAAGGACCAGAUGUCCCCUGCUUGACUGCCUGUCCCUUAGCAUCUUUUCCCACAAGAAAAAAAAAAAAAAAAGAAAAAAGAAAAAAAAACCAGCUUUUGUUUUGCUGUUGCAAAACUG